rnacentral:rRNA from 1 species
GUCUUUUUGAAUUAAAAAUUUAAAGUCUAAUCUGCUCACUGAAUUUAAAUUUAAAGAGCCGCAGUAUAUUAACUGUGCAAAGGUAGCAUAAUAAUUUGUUUUUUAAUUAAAAACUAGAAUGAAUGAUUGAAUGAAAUAUAUUCUGUCUCAAUUUUAAUAUAAUAAAAAUUAAUUUUUUAGUUAAAAAGCUAAAAUUAAUUUAAAAGACGAGAAGACCCUAUAGAUUUUUAUUUUAAUGUUUUAAAUAAAUAUUAAUAAAUAAUAUAUAAAUUUUUAAUUUAUUAAUAAACAUUAAAAUUUUAUUGGGGUAAUAUAAAAAUUAUUUAAACUUUUAUUAAAAAAUUAACAUAAAUUAAUGAAAAUUUGAUCCAGUUAUGAUGAUUAUAAGAUUAAAUUACCUUAGGGAUAACAGCGUAAUUUUAAUUUUAAGUUCAUAUUAGAAUUAAAGAUUGCGACCUCGAUGUUGGAUUAAGAAAAAUUUUAAAAGAAGAAUUUUAAAUUUUAGGUCUGUUCGACCUUUAAUAUCUU